rnacentral:rRNA from 1 species
AGAGUUUGAUCAUGGCUCAGGAUGAACGCUAGCGGCAGGCUUAACACAUGCAAGUCGAGGGGUAGGGUAGCAAUACCUGAGACCGGCGCACGGGUGCGUAACGCGUAUGCAAUCUACCUUGUACAGGGGGAUAGCCCAGAGAAAUUUGGAUUAAUACCCCAUAGUAUUUUCAAAUGGCAUCAUUUGAUUAUUAAAGUUCCAACGGUACAAGAUGAGCAUGCGUCCCAUUAGCUAGUUGGUGUGGUAACGGCAUACCAAGGCUACGAUGGGUAGGGGUCCUGAGAGGGAGAUCCCCCACACUGGUACUGAGACACGGACCAGACUCCUACGGGAGGCAGCAGUGAGGAAUAUUGGUCAAUGGGCGCAAGCCUGAACCAGCCAUGCCGCGUGCAGGAUGAAGCAUCUAUGGUGUGUAAACUGCUUUUGUACAGGAAGAAACACUCCCUCGUGAGGGAGCUUGACGGUACUGUAAGAAUAAGGACCGGCUAACUCCGUGCCAGCAGCCGCGGUAAUACGGAGGGUCCAAGCGUUAUCCGGAAUCAUUGGGUUUAAAGGGUCCGUAGGCGGUUAAAUAAGUCAGUGGUGAAAUCUGGUCGCUCAACGAUCAAACGGCCAUUGAUACUGUUUAACUUGAAUUUUUGUGAAGUAACUAGAAUAUGUAGUGUAGCGGUGAAAUGCUUAGAUAUUACAUGGAAUACCAAUUGCGAAGGCAGGUUACUAACAAACGAUUGACGCUGAUGGACGAAAGCGUGGGUAGCGAACAGGAUUAGAUACCCUGGUAGUCCACGCUGUAAACGAUGGAUACUAGCUGUUGGAGGCAACUUCA